rnacentral:rRNA from 1 species
AUUGAACGCUGGCGGCAUGCCUUACACAUGCAAGUCGAACGGCAGCGGACCUUCGGGUGCCGGCGAGUGGCGAACGGGUGAGUAAAGUAUCGGAACGUACCUUUCAGUGGGGGAUAACGUAGCGAAAGUUACGCUAAUACCGCAUAUUCUGUGAGCAGGAAAGCAGGGGACCUUCGGGCCUUGCGCUGAUAGAGCGGCCGAUAUCGGAUUAGCUAGUUGGUGGGGUAAAAGCUCACCAAGGCGACGAUCUGUAGCGGGUCUGAGAGGAUGAUCCGCCACACUGGAACUGAGACACGGUCCAGACUCCUACGGGAGGCAGCAGUGGGGAAUUUUGGACAAUGGGGGCAACCCUGAUCCAGCCAUGCCGCGUGAGUGAAGAAGGCCUUCGGGUUGUAAAGCUCUUUCGGCCGGGAAGAAAUCGCAUAGGCUAAUACCCUGUGUGGAUGACGGUACCGGAAUAAGAAGCACCGGCUAACUACGUGCCAGCAGCCGCCGUAA